rnacentral:rRNA from 1 species
CCUACGGGUCGCAGCAGUGGGGAAUAUUGCACAAUGGGCGCAAGCCUGAUGCAGCCAUGCCGCGUGUGUGAAGAAGGCCUUCGGGUUGUAAAGCACUUUCAGCGAGGAGGAAGGCGGUGAGGUUAAUAACCUCAUCGAUUGACGUUACCCGCAGAAGAAGCACCGGCUAACUCCGUGCCAGCAGCCGCGGUAAUACGGAGGGUGCAAGCGUUAAUCGGAAUUACUGGGCGUAAAGCGCACGCAGGCGGUCUGUCAAGUCGGAUGUGAAAUCCCCGGGCUCAACCUGGGAACUGCAUUUGAAACUGGCAAGCUAGAGUCUCGUAGAGGGGGGUAGAAUUCCAGGUGUAGCGGUGAAAUGCGUAGAGAUCUGGAGGAAUACCGGUGGCGAAGGCGGCCCCCUGGACAAAGACUGACGCUCAGGUGCGAAAGCGUGGGGAGCAAACAGGAUUAGAUACCCUAGUAGUC